rnacentral:rRNA from 1 species
UAGUCCACGCCCUAAACGAUGCUUACUCGAUGUUUGGGCUAUAUGCUUGAGCAUCUAAGCGAAAGUGAUAAGUAACCCACCUGGGGAGUACGUUCGCAAGAAUGAAACUCAAAGGAAUUGACGGGGGCCCGCACAAGCGGUGGAGCAUGUGGUUUAAUUCGAUGAUACGCGAGGAACCUUACCAGGGCUUAAAUGUAGUCUGACAGCUUUAGAGAUAGAGUUUUCUUCGGACAGAUUACAAGGUGCUGCAUGGUUGUCGUCAGCUCGUGCCGUGAGGUGUCAGGUUAAGUCCUAUAACGAGCGCAACCCCUGUUGUUAGUUGCCAUCGAGUAAUGUCGGGAACUCUAGCAAGACUGCCGGUGCAAACCGCGAGGAAGGUGGGGAUGACGUCAAAUCAUCACGGGCCCUUACGUCCUGGGGCCACACACGUGCUACAAUGGUAGGUACAGAGAGCAGCCACUUGGUGACAAGGAGCGAAUCUAUAAAGCCUAUCACAGUUC